GUGCUCACUUUGGUGGCACAUAUACUAAAGUUGAAAUGAUUUGGAGAACUAAUUAGCAUGGCUGUUGCACAAGGAUGGCAGGCACUUUUGUGAAACUGUCAUAUUUUUG